rnacentral:rRNA from 1 species
AUGAACGCUGGCGGCGUGCCUAAUACAUGCAAGUCGAACGAGGUGCUUUUGUAGCAAUACGAGAGUAUCCUAGUGGCGAACGGGUGAGUAACGCGUUGGUGACCUACCCCAAAGUGUGGGAUAACAGUCCGAAAGGAUUGCUAAUACCGCAUGUGGUUAUCGGCUUCAGAAACCGGUAACUAAAGGAGCAAUUCGCUUUGGGAGGGACCUGCGUCCCAUCAGCUAGUUGGUGAGGUAAUGGCUCACCAAGGCGACGACGGGUAGGGGACCUGAGAGGGUGACCCCCCGCAAUGGAACUGAAACACGGUCCAUACACCUACGGGUGGCAGCAGUAGGGAAUAUUGCUCAAUGGGCGAAAGCCUGAAGCAGCAACGCCGCGUGUGUGAUGAAGGCCUUCGGGUCGUAAAGCACUUUUCUGGGAGAUGAGAAAGGACAGUAUCCCAGGAAUAAGUCUCGGCUAACUACGUGCCAGCAGCCGCGGUAAAACGUAGGAGGCGAGCGUUAUCCGGAUUCACUGGGCGUAAAGCGCGUGCAGGUGGCGCGGUAAGUUGGGCGUGAAAUCUCCCGGCUCAACUGGGAGAGGUCGUCCAAUACUACCGUGCUUGAGAGCAGAAGAGGAAGAUGGAAUUCCCGGUGUAGUGGUGAAAUGCGUAGAUAUCGGGAGGAACACCAGUGGCGAAGGCGAUCUUCUGGUCUGUUUCUGACACUCAGACGCGACAGCUAGGGUAGUAAACGGGAUUAGAGACCCCGGUAAUCCUAGCCGUAAACGAUGUGAACUUGGCGUUGGUGGGUUAAACUCCAUCAGUGCCGUAGCAAACGCGAUAAGUUCACCGCCUGGGGACUACGGCCGCAAGGUUAAAACUCAAAGGAAUUGACAGGGGCCCGCACAAGCAGCGGAGCGUGUGGUUUAAUUCGAUGCAACGCGAAGAACCUUACCUGGUCUUGACAUCCUGGGAACCCUGAAGAGAUUCGGGGGUGCCGCAAGGAACCCAGAGACAGGUGCUGCAUGGCUGUCGUCAGCUCGUGUCGUGAGAUGUUGGGUUAAGUCCCGCAACGAGCGCAACCCUUGUCCUUAGUUGCCAGCAUUCAGUUGGGCACUCUAAGGAGACCGCCGGUGACAAACCGGAGGAAGGUGGGGAUGACGUCAAGUCAUCAUGGCCUUUAUGACCAGGGCUACACACGUGCUACAAUGGCAGAUACAGAGGGAAGCCAACUCGCGAGAGGGAGCCAAUCCCAGAAAAUCUGUCGUAGUCCGGAUCGGAGUCUGCAACUCGACUCCGUGAAGUCGGAAUCGCUAGUAAUCGCAGAUCAGCAUUGCUGCGGUGAAU